UACGAAGGGGGCUAGCGUUGUUCGGAAUUACUGGGCGUAAAGCGUGCGCAGGCGGUCUUGCAAGACAGAGGUGAAAUCCCCGGGCUCAACCUGGGAACUGCCUUUGUGGCUGCGAGGCUAGAGUACGGCAGAGGGGGAUGGAAUUCCGCGUGUAGCAGUGAAAUGCGUAGAUAUGCGGAGGAACACCGAUGGCGAAGGCAAUCCCCUGGGCCUGUACUGACGCUCAUGCACGAAAGCGUGGGGAGCAAACAGG
rnacentral:rRNA from 1 species